rnacentral:lncRNA from 1 species
UUUAAUGCCAAAUUAGAGUUUUGGCCCCAAUUUCACUAUCUACUGAAAAUAGAUAAUGAUAGUGCGAGUUGGGCAUCCGUGUAUUGUGUUUACAUUCUUGUUUGCACUUUACUCCUGAACGGUUUGAGCUAUAACCAACAAAAUAAAACCCAACCCUCCCUCCGUUGUGCAAAUAUUUGUAGUAUAAUUUUAUAGAUAUCAAUACACUUUUACACAAGUUAUUGUCCGGAAACCAGAAAAACGUUGUUUUGCUUAUUAUGGCCAGUUUUUGGUCCCUAAUUCUUUUAAACCAUGAUAUGGGACCAUAACAUUCAAAUUCUAAUUUAACGCUAUCAUUGAUUACUCAUCAUUUGCACAGGUCUGAUCUGCAUUUCUUUUGCGCUGAUUUUUUUUUAUUUCUUUUUUGCCGAAUUUGUGUUUCAUUUGCGUUGUUUGUGUACAUGUUACUUACAGGGUCGUUUUGAUCAUUAUAAAUCUCUUCCGUUAGCCAGUACAUAAGUUAUAAAUUGUCAAUCAUAACAUGUAUAUAACUGUUGUAACAUACUCAAGAGGAGGUGAAAGUAGGCUUCCGAGCAGGAUUAUAAAAAAGAAUUUAGAUGUGGUAUGGUUGCCAAUGAAACAACUCCCCACAAAAGACAAAAAUGACACAGAAAUUAACAAC